rnacentral:rRNA from 1 species
AUAUCUUUAGUAAUUGCGAAUGAACAAGGAUAUGCUUAGCUUGACAAAUGGAGCUAUUGGCUUUGAAUUGUAUUGUGGAAAUGUAUUACCAACAGAGGUGCAGGUGCCAGCCUAUUGAAAUAAAGCGUCAAUGAGGGUGAGAAUCCUGUUUGUCAUGUGCAGCCCUUUGUGCACGGUGUAUAUUUGCUGAGUCACACUCCUUGGCAUUGGAAUGCAAAGUGGGUGGUAAGUUUCAUGUAAAGGUAAACAUGCAAUUGAGACUGAUAGCACACAAGUACCAUGAGGGAAAUAUGAAAAGGACUUUGAAAAGAGAAUUAAAUGAGUUUGUAUUUGCUGAACACAAAGUAAACAGACUUGAUUUGCUUGGUGGGAGUGUUGCACUUGCUUGACAAGAGCUUUGGGCUGUGGGUGUAAUGAUUCUUUCUUUGCAUGCCAGUUUCUAUUUGUACAUCUGAUUACCUUUGCACAUGAAUGAUAAGUCUCCUGUGGGGGGUGGAUUGCAUGUGCAUGUAAUGAUUUGUGUUUUGAUAAAUGUGUCUGGUGUAUGUGU